rnacentral:rRNA from 1 species
UGGGGAAUAUUGGACAAUGGGCGCAAGCCUGAUCCAGCCAUGCCGCGUGAGUGAAGAAGGCCUUCGGGUUGUAAAGCUCUUUUGUCCGGAAAGAAAAGCCUUCGGUUAAUACCCGGGGGUGAUGACGGUACCGGAAGAAUAAGCACCGGCUAACUUCGUGCCAGCAGCCGCGGUAAUACGAAGGGUGCAAGCGUUACUCGGAAUUACUGGGCGUAAAGCGUGCGUAGGUGGUUCGUUAAGUCUGAUGUGAAAGCCCUGGGCUCAACCUGGGAAUGGCAUUGGAAACUGGCGACCUAGAGUGCGGUAGAGGGUAGUGGAAUUCCCGGUGUAGCAGUGAAAUGCGUAGAGAUCGGGAGGAACAUCUGUGGCGAAGGCGACUGCCUGGACCAGCACUGACACUGAGGCACGAAAGCGUGGGGAGCAAACA